UGGGGAAUCUUCCGCAAUGGACGAAAGUCUGACGGAGCAACGCCGCGUGAACGAUGACGGCCUUCGGGUUGUAAAGUUCUGUUAUACGGGACGAAUGGCGUAGCGGUCAAUACCCGUUACGAGUGACGGUACCGUAAGAGAAAGCCACGGCUAACUACGUGCCAGCAGCCGCGGUAAUACGUAGGUGGCAAGCGUUGUCCGGAAUUAUUGGGCGUAAAGGGCGCGCAGGCGGCGUCGUAAGUCGGUCUUAAAAGUGCGGGGCUUAACCCCGUGAGGGGACCGAAACUGCGAUGCUAGAGUAUCGGAGAGGAAAGGGGAAUUCCCAGUGUAGCGGUGAAAUGCGUAGAUAUUGGGAGGAACACCAGUGGCGAAGGCGCCUUUCUGGACUGUGUCUGACGCUGAGAUGCGAAAGCCAGGGUAGCAAACGGGAUUAGAUACCCUGGUAGU
rnacentral:rRNA from 1 species